rnacentral:rRNA from 1 species
UUAAAUGAAUUGACGGGACCGCACAAGCGGUGGAUGAUGUGGUUAAUUCGAUGCAACGCGAAAACCUUACCCACCUUUGACAUGUACGGAAUCCUUUAGAGAUAGAGGAGUGCUCGAAAGAGAACCGUAACACAGGUGCUGCAUGGCUGUCGUCAGCUCGUGUCGUGAGAUGUUGGGUUAAGUCCCGCAACGAGCGCAACCCUUGUCAUUAGUUGCUACAUUCAGUUGGGCACUCUAAUGAGACUGCCGGUGACAAACCGGAGGAAGGUGGGGAUGACGUCAAGUCCUCAUGGCCCUUAUAGGUGGGGCUACACACGUCAUACAAUGGAUGGUACAAAGGGUCGCCAACCCGCGAGGGGGAGCCAAUCCCAUAAAGCCAUUCGUAGUCCGGAUCGCAGUCUGCAACUCGACUGCGUGAAGUCGGAAUCGCUAGUAAUCGUGGAUCAGAAUGUCACGGUGAAUACGUUCCCGGGUCUU